rnacentral:rRNA from 1 species
CCUACGGGUGGCUGCAGUGGGGAAUAUUGGACAAUGGGCGAAAGCCUGAUCCAGCCAUGCCGCGUGUGUGAAGAAGGCCUUCGGGUUGUAAAGCACUUUCAGUGGGGAAGAAAGCCUUGGGGCUAAUACCCUCGAGGAAGGACAUCACCCACAGAAGAAGCACCGGCUAACUCCGUGCCAGCAGCCGCGGUAAUACGGAGGGUGCGAGCGUUAAUCGGAAUUACUGGGCGUAAAGCGCGCGUAGGCGGUCUGAUAAGCCGGUUGUGAAAGCCCCGGGCUCAACCUGGGAACGGCAUCCGGAACUGUCAGGCUAGAGUGCAGGAGAGGAAGGUAGAAUUCCCGGUGUAGCAGUGAAAUGCGUAGAGAUCGGGAGGAAUACCAGUGGCGAAGGCGGCCUUCUGGACUGACACUGACGCUGAGGUGCGAAAGCGUGGGUAGCAAACAGGAUUAGCUACCCCAGUAGUC